AUGGUGGUGGUGGCGACUGCAAGCCCCGGCGGGCCGGAGGCGCUGCAGGUGCACGAGGUCGAGGAUCUCUCGGCGUCGGGGGAGGGCAAGCUGCUUGUCGGGGUGUCCACUGUCGGCGUCAAUCGCGGUGACACAGUCCAGCGGCAGGGCCGAUACCUGCCGCCGGCUGGCGCCUCGCCCUACCUGGGGCUUGAGUGCUCCAGCACCAUCGUCGCGCUCGGGGCCAACACCCCCCGUGCUGGGCUAUCGGUACCAGGUGCCAAGCGUGCCCCCAUGGUGUACGCGCUGCUUACCGGCGACGGGUAUGCGGAGAAGGUUGUGGUUCCGGCGGGGCAGCUUCUACCGAUGACAGAGGGGGGGGGGUCGCUGACUGACAGCCGCCAGCUUGCCCGAGAUGGCCUGCACCGUCUGGUCCACCGUCUUCAUGCUAGUCACCUCUCCCCCGGUGAAUCCUUCCUUAUCCAUGGUGGAUCUAGUGGAAUCAGUACAUUCACUAUACAGAAUGCAAAGCACCUUGGAAAUCCAUGGCCAUCAUACAAAACCAAAUUGUGCCAAUUCACAUGGACUAAGCUUAUAUGUGGUACUUCCAGCCCACAAACUAAACAGACUAGUAGAAUGCCCGUGCGUUGCUACGGGCUAUCAUGCAUAUACUUUAGGAAGCAUCUCUGGUCUGAACUCAUAAAAGCCCACUGUGGUCUUGUGAAUGUCUUCUCCAAUAGGCCCUACAACUUUCCGAAAAUCUCGGCCAAGAAAAAACACUGGUCAUGCCACCAUUAUCUGGACAACUUCUUGCAAGAACAUGAUGGCUGA
rnacentral:rRNA from 1 species